rnacentral:lncRNA from 1 species
ACCGAUAACCAACAACCUGAGCACUACAAAAUCAAUUUUAUGCAUGUAAUUUAACAUUUCAGUACAACAAAAGAGAUCAACAAUGGUAAAUGGUUAAUUGUAGGUAAAAUACACCAGGCUCUAUGAAUUAACAUUGUAAAUUCAGUUAGAGAUGAACAAUUACUUUAACUCUAUACACAGCAGGUCCAGGGAACACACAACAUGACUAAAUCACCCCCAAGGGCAAAAUGGUCCAGACUUGGAUCAAAAAGAAAAAACCACUACCCUGAAAUCAUUCCUUAGCAUUGACGAUGACAGGUCCUUCAUAAUCAACAAAUACAAUUCACAAUUCCAAAACAAGUUUGAGCCCUGCACAACAACACCUUCAUAUCUGAUCACAUUUGCAUCUGAUCACAUUUGUAUCCGAUCACAUUUGCAAGCCACCGCCAGUAGAAUUCGUAUUAUAUCACAAUUUUUAAAAAGUAAACAUAUCAAUGUAGGAAUGAUAAUAAACCAAUAAUAAUAUCCCAAGAUGAUUGAUAAGAGAAAUAAUAGAUGAACAUAACAUACCACCCAUCCAGAGCCUUGCACAGCAACACCUUCAGCAUUCAUCUUGAUCACUCAUUCGUAUCUGAUCACCUUCAACAUAGCAGCACAACAUCCGUUUCUUUGAAUCGAACUCAUCUUGAAACAUUCACAUUCAAUUUUGACCACUCAUUCAUAUUUGAUCACCAAUUCUGACUUGAAAUCAUAUUCACUUUUGACUUUCACUGCAUUGACCAUUGAAUUGAAUUACCGACAAUCAGCAAAAACAAUUUUCUGAAAUCGAUUUUCAGAUCAAACAAAUCUAUUCAACAAUAAUCAUCAUCUUCAACCACCUGUUACGUAACCUAAGAAGAAGCGAAGAAGAAAAGAAGUAAAGAAAAAAAAAGAUGAUUUAAACCACCUGUUGUUGAGGUUCUUCACCUUUAUUUUUUUCGAUUCGACCUCAUAUUUCUUCACCCUUCAUUCGACCUAAUCUCCUUUUCACCAAUCCUUUCCAUAUUAUCCGAUUAUUGAUUGUUGAUUGGGUUCGGUACUUACCGUUUGACGAUGCUCAGUUUGAUGUCGUUCCUUUGAUGUCGUGGCAGAAGAUGAUGAUAGAAGACUAACCGAAGUAGGGGAGGAGUCGGAGUCGAGCAGGGGAGGAGUCAGACCAUCAAAAAAAUUAGGGAAGAACGGGAUGCAAAAGACAUAUAUGGAAGAGUAAAAAUUAGAGCAUCCCACAUCGAAGCUAGGAACAUUAUAUCAAGGAAAAAUACUCUAUAAAAGGGAAUCCUCCUUAACAGAACAAAUGCACUUAUGUUUUAGGCAAGCUAGUUCCUUUGAGCCGGUGCGUCCUUUAGAGUCAGCUACACCGAUUUGGUUCGAGUUGGAUUGAUUUGGUCUGAGUUGGGCCAGCUUUGACCAAUAUUGACCAAGCCGCCUAGUUCUACAACCAUGUUUUACAACCAUGUUUUAAAUACUUUAAAAUAUUAUUAACUUUAAGAUUGACAUAAAAAAUUAUUUUCUACAUUUAAAAUGUUGUUUCGUUUAUUGGUGAUAAUGUCACAUCUGCUUCAAAUCUUGAUAAAAGCACUGCAACAAGUCCAUUAACUAAGUGGACAUCCUUAAAAAAAGUUUAUGGACAUGAAAAAUUAAAACACAGCCGGGAAGAUGUUUACGGUGUUGAUAAUCUAACAACAUUGUUCUCAAACAAACGACCAUCAACAUUAAUGCUAUAUCAUACUUCUGGAGAAGGAAAAACAAAAC